UUAUGCAGCAGUUUUAAAAUUUCGAACUAGUUCAAGAGCUGCUCGGCUGCUCGUUUACUUUCAGUUUUGGGAACAGAGGCUUACACCCCUUUCUCCUCCUGUUUCUCCUCCAGUCCCUCUUCCCCUCAAUCUAGUUUCCCAAAGUUAGCAAACCUACUUUCUUGAUUUUGUUUCUUAACAUUUAAAACAACUGGUGAAGGGCUAAUGAUUUCAUCUCCUUACCACCACCCCUAACCUUAAAAGCAAUAAAUAAAAUAAAAGCCCAGCCUGCCAACCGCAUGCACACACGGCCAGCGGUGGUGGGGGUUUGUAGUUUGCAUACACGUCGCGGGGCAGAAGCCUGUUUGCAAAGGCUGAAAUGUAGCUAGCAGGGGAAGACGCUGAAAAAACAGAGUGAUUUGAUAAAAACGUGCUGGGCCCUGUUACAGGAGGGCUGCUGGGAGUAGUCCCAGGUACUCACAUCAGAAGGGGUGCAGGGGAAUAAAAUUUAAAAAAGCAAA
rnacentral:lncRNA from 1 species